rnacentral:rRNA from 1 species
AGUGAACGCUGGCGGUAGGCCUAAUACAUGCAAGUCGAACGACCGCACAAUAAGAUCUUUCUUUUGAUGUUGGCGAGUGACGGAUGAGUGACGCAUACAUAAGCUACUAAUUUUACGUGGGGAACUUCGUAAGACCGGUGAUGCUAACACCGCAUAUUUUCUACCGGAUAAAUCAGAAGUUCAACGCACUUUUCCCGUCUCUUAUAGCCGGUGCCGGACUAGCUAGUUGGCUGGGUAAGGGCACACCAAGGCGACGAUACGUAGCAGAUCUGAGAGGAUGAUCAGCCACACUGGAACUGAGACACGGUCCAGACUCCUACGGGAGGCAGCAGUGGGGAAUAUUGGACAAAGGGCGCAAGCCUGAUCCAGCUAUACCGCGUGAGUGAAGAAGGCCUUCGGGUUGUAAAGCCCUUUUGUUGGGAAAGAAAAGCAGCAGAUGAAUACCCCGCUGUUCUGACGGUACCCAAAGAGUAAGCACCGGCUAACUUCGUG